rnacentral:tRNA from 1 species
UCCCUGGUGGCUCAGACAGUAAAGCAUCUGCCUGCAGUGCAGGAGACCCAGGUUCGAUCCCUGGGUUGGAAA